UCCUUAAUCUCUUUGAAGUGCCUGUGAAUGAAAGGAGUUGACAAGUUUUUAAUUUUCUCUAUCAGCCUGCAGAUUGGGGGAAAUGGAAAGGACUCUCUGAUACUUUCUAACAUGCAGGCUCUGUAAAAACUGCUUUGGCACAAUGAAAAGAGAAUAUAGUGUUUUUUCAUCUUGUGGCAUGGAGAAGGAUUCUUCCCUAUUUUUACCCACACUGCCGGUGAUGUUUAGGGUGAUGGGUGAAUCUUUGAGUUAUGGUUGGUCUUAUGAUGCAGGAGGUGCUCUUGGUCUACAUGAUGAUGGCUGAUGGAAGUCUAAAUGAGAAAGCAUGCAUGCGCCUUAUCAAUGUCAUUAUUCUAUUCCAGUGCAUUGCAGCUAGAGAAACUCGGCAAAAGCUCGUGAACUGCGGGCUUCGGAAACUUUCAUCAGCAUCCUGAAAUUGGCUAAUCACACUCUGGCAUUUGUAUUGAUAAGAACGUUCUCGUUUCCUCUCUUUUGUUAGGUCAGCCUGCAUUGUCUACUUCUUGGUACCCUUAGUACUGUUCGUAUCCAACCUGGAGGUGUAUGACAAUGUGAGAGCUGUUGCCUUGUCAGUGUUUGGCAUUUUAUGCCAGGCAAUAGAAUGUAGUGCUCUCCAAUGGGCUAUUGAAAAUGAGGUGGUGGAAUUAUGCUUGAUUAGCAAGGACACUGGAAACAAACUCACAAGAGUGAUGAGAU